rnacentral:rRNA from 1 species
GAUGAACGCUGGCGGCGUGCCUAAUACAUGCAAGUCGAGCGAAUGGAUUAAGAGCUUGCUCUUAUGAAGUUAGCGGCGGACGGGUGAGUAACACGUGGGUAACCUGCCCAUAAGACUGGGAUAACUCCGGGAAACCGGGGCUAAUACCGGAUAACAUUUUGAACCGCAUGGUUCGAAAUUGAAAGGCGGCUUCGGCUGUCACUUAUGGAUGGACCCGCGUCGCAUUAGCUAGUUGGUGAGGUAACGGCUCACCAAGGCAACGAUGCGUAGCCGACCUGGGAGGGGGAGCGGCCACACUGGGACGGAGACACGGCCCAGACUCCUACGGGCGGCAGCAGUAGGGAAUCUUCCGCAAUGGACGAAAGUCUGACGGAGCAACGCCGCGUGAGUGAUGAAGGCUUUCGGGUCGUAAAACUCUGUUGUUAGGGAAGAACAAGUGCUAGUUGAAUAAGCUGACACCUUGACGGUACCUAACCAGAAAGCCACGGCUAACUACGUGCCAGCCGCCGCAGUAA